rnacentral:rRNA from 1 species
UACGGAGGGUGCGAGCGUUAAUCGGAAUUACUGGGCGUAAAGCGCGCGUAGGCGGUUUGUUAAGUCAGCUGUGAAAGCCCCGGGCUCAACCUGGGAACUGCAGUUGAUACUGGCCGACUAGAGUACGAGAGAGGGAGGUAGAAUUCCAUGUGUAGCGGUGAAAUGCGUAGAUAUAUGGAGGAAUACCAGUGGCGAAGGCGGCCUCCUGGCUCGAUACUGACGCUGAGGUGCGAAAGCCAGGGGAGCAAACGGG